rnacentral:rRNA from 1 species
UUUUAUGAGAGUUUGAUCCUGGCUCAGGACGAACGCUGGCGGCGUGCCUAAUACAUGCAAGUCGAACGCUUCUUUUUCCACCGGAGCUUGCUCCACCGGAAAAAGAGGAGUGGCGAACGGGUGAGUAACACGUGGGUAACCUGCCCAUCAGAAGGGGAUAACACUUGGAAACAGGUGCUAAUACCGUAUAACAAUCAAAACCGCAUGGUUUUGAUU